rnacentral:rRNA from 1 species
AUUGAACGCUGGCGGCAUGCCUUACACAUGCAAGUCGAACGGCAACAGGUCUUCGGAUGCUGACGAGUGGCGAACGGGUGAGUAAUACAUCGGAACGUGCCUAGUAGUGGGGGAUAACUACUCGAAAGAGUGGCUAAUACCGCAUGAGAUCUACGGAUGAAAGCAGGGGAUCGCAAGACCUUGUGCUAAUAGAGCGGCCGAUGGCAGAUUAGGUAGUUGGUGGGAUAAAAGCUUACCAAGCCGACGAUCUGUAGCUGGUCUGAGAGGACGAUCAGCCACACUGGGACUGAGACAACGCACAGACUCCUACGGGAGGCAGCGGUGGGGAAUCUUGCACAAUGGAGGAAACUCUGAUGCGGCAAGGCCGCGUGAGUGAAGAAGGCCCUUGGGUCGUAAAGCUCUUUCGGCCAGAAAGAAGGGUGUUAGUGUUAAUACCACAGGCAUCUGACGGUACUGGAAGAAGAAGCACCGGCUAAUUUCGUGCCAGCCGCCGCGGUAA